CUACGUGCCAGCAGCCGCGGUAAUACGGAGGGUGCAAGCGUUAAUCGGAAUUACUGGGCGUAAAGCGCACGCAGGCGGUUUGUUAAGUCAGAUGUGAAAUCCCCGCGCUUAACGUGGGAACUGCAUUUGAAACUGGCAAGCUAGAGUCUUGUAGAGGGGGGUAGAAUUCCAGGUGUAGCGGUGAAAUGCGUAGAGAUCUGGAGGAAUACCGAUGGCGAAGGCAGCCUCCUGGGAUAACACUGACGUUCAUGCUCGAAAGCGUGGGUAGCAAACAGGAUUAGAUACCCUGGUAGUCCACGCCCUAAACGAUGUCAAUUAGCUGUUGGGCAACUUGAUUGCUUAGUAGCGUAGCUAACGCGUGAAAUUGACCGCCUGGGGAGUACGGUCGCAAGAUUAAAACUCAAAGGAAUUGACGGGGACCCGCACAAGCGGUGGAUGAUGUGGAUUAAUUCGAUGCAACGCGAAGAACCUUACCUGGUCUUGACA
rnacentral:rRNA from 1 species